rnacentral:rRNA from 1 species
UAUUAAAGGCAACGCCUGCCCAGUGAAUAAUUAAACGGCCGCGGUACCCUAACCGUGCAAAGGUAGCGUAAUCACUUGUCUAUUAAUUGUAGACCCGUAUGAAAGGCACAAUGAGGGUCUAACUGUCUCUUUUAGUAGAUCAAUUAAACUGAUCUUCUAGUCCAAAAGCUAGAAUGCCAACAUAAGACCAGAAGACCCUGUGAAGCUUUAACUAAACUAUUAGACCCUAUAAUAGCUCCUUUAGGUUGGGGCGACCUUGGAAAAAAAAAGAACUUCCAAACAUAUAAUAUGCAAUUACACCUUACUCGGCCAACAAGCCUACAACGACCCAGCACAGCUGAUAACUGAACCAAGUUACUCCAGGGAUAACAGCGCUAUCUUCUUCAAGAGCCCAUAUCAAAAAGAAGGUUUACGACCUCGAUGUUGGAUCAGGACAUCCUAAUGGUGCAGCCGCUAUUAACGGUUCGUUUGUU